rnacentral:rRNA from 1 species
CCCUUAGAUGUCCUGGGCUGCACGCGCGCUACACUGAUGUGUCCAGUAAGCACCUAACCUCUUCCAAAAGGAACGGGUAACCUUUGCAAAGCACAUCGUGAUGGGGAUAGAUUAUUGCAAUUAUUAGUCUUGAACGAGGAAUUCCUAGUAAGCACAAGUCAUCAGCUUGUGUUGAUUACGUCCCUGCCCUUUGUACACACCGCCCGUCGCUCCUACCGAUUGAAUGUUCCGGUGAGCUCUUCGGACUGCGCGGUCUGCAGUUUCUGCGUUCCGUGCGGAAAGUUGCGCAAACCUUAACAUUUAGAGGAAGGAGAAGUCGUAACA